GGAGAUGGAUGGUAGGCAGGAUGAAUAAGUGCUCGAGACCACCACGUUUGGCUCAUUGCAGAGAAAGCAGGAAGAGGGAUGGUGAGGGUUCCCUGGUGGUAGCCAGGGAAGGCCUCCCUGAGACGGCGGCCGGCACAGCAGCAGCUAGCCAGACCCUGCUGUCUGCAUCUUACAUCCUAACCCUAUGCCCGGCCUGGGAGGUGGGUGCUACUAGGUGAGGAACGUUUCAGGUAGAAGGAACAAGUGCAAAUGUCCUGAGGCAGUAAUGUUGCAAAGCAGCUCCGCACCCCCUUGCUAGGGCCCCCCAACCCCACAACCCCCGACCUGACGGGCCACCUGUGCGCUCCCCCUCCCUCCCACACCGUGCAGCUGAAUAAAUCUGCUGUCUUGCGCAAGGCCAUCGACUACAUUCGCUUUCUGCAACACAGCAACCAGAAACUCAAGCAGGAGAACCUAAGUCUGCGCACUGCUGUCCACAAAAGCAAAUCACUGAAGGAUCUGGUGUCGGCCUGUGGCAGUGGAGGGAACACAGACGUGCUCAUGGAGGGCGUGAAGACUGAGGUGGAGGACACACUGACCCCACCCCCCUCGGAUGCUGGCUCACCUUUCCAGAGCAGCCCCUUGUCCCUUGGCAGCAGGGGCAGUGGCAGCGGUGGCAGUGGCAGUGACUCGGAGCCUGACAGCCCAGCCUUUGAGGACAGCAAGACAGAAUAACUGAGGCCUGGAGCCAUGUGGGGUCCCACAGUAAGGCAAAGCCAGAGCAGCGGCCGUCUUCGCACAGCCGGGGCAUGCUGGACCGCUCCCGCCUGGCCCUGUGCACGCUCGUCUUCCUCUGCCUGUCCUGCAACCCCUUGGCCUCCUUGCUGGGGGCCCGGGGACUUCCCAGCCCCUCAGAUACCACCAGCGUCUACCAUAGCCCUGGGCGUAACGUGCUGGGCACCGAGAGCAGAGAUGGCCCUGGCUGGGCCCAGUGGCUGCUGCCCCCAGUGGUCUGGCUGCUCAAUGGGCUGCUGGUGCUGGUCUCCUUGGUGCUUCUCUUUGUCUACGGUGAGCCAGUCACACGGCCCCACUCAGGCCCCGCCGUGUACUUCUGGAGGCAUCGCAAGCAGGCUGACCUGGACCUGGCCCGGGGAGACUUUGCCCAGGCUGCCCAGCAGCUGUGGCUGGCCCUGCGGGCACUGGGCCGGCCCCUGCCCACCUCCCACCUUGACCUGGCUUGUAGCCUCCUCUGGAACCUCAUCCGUCACCUGCUGCAGCGUCUCUGGGUGGGCCGCUGGCUGGCAGGCCGGGCAGGGGGCCUGCAGCAGGACUGUGCUCUGCGGGU
rnacentral:sRNA from 1 species